UACGAAGGGGGCUAGCGUUGUUCGGAAUUACUGGGCGUAAAGCGUAUGCAGGCGGACUUUUAAGUCGGGGGUGAAAUCCCGAGGCUCAACCUCGGAACUGCCUUCGAUACUGGAAGUCUUGAGUCCGGGAGAGGUGAGUGGAACUCCGAGUGUAGAGGUGAAAUUCGUAGAUAUUCGGAGGAACACCAGUGGCGAAGGCGGCUCACUGGUCCGGUACUGACGCUGAGACGCGAAAGCGUGGGGAGCGAACAGG
rnacentral:rRNA from 1 species